UUCGGCUCUUCAUGAUUUAAUCCUGGCCAUUGAUACAGGUAAAUGACUUUGACCCAAUUUUUUUUUAAAAACACACGGAUUCUCCUCCAUUAGGUCAAAUGUUUUGUUAAAGAACCACUAAAAAGUAAAAACCUAGCCUCUCAUUUCAUUUUCAGUUUUUUCAGCCUCCCUUUUCAAACUCAAUCAGCGAAGAGCGAUGAAAGUUUUAGAAAAAAGGUUGAUGUGGUAGUUUCUUGGGUGGAAUAAUAUCUUGGGAUCUCAUAAUCGGGAAGGAAGGAGCAGCUUCGAUUAAAUCCCUGUGCCGGAAAAACUCUGAGUUAAAGCCUCAAUCUGCAAGUUUGUUCCUUUUUCUC